rnacentral:rRNA from 1 species
ACGGUCCAGACUCCUACGGGAGGCAGCAGUGGGGAAUAUUGGACAAUGGGCGCAAGCCUGAUCCAGCCAUACCGCGUGGGUGAAGAAGGCCUUCGGGUUGUAAAGCCCUUUUGUUGGGAAAGAAAAGCAGCCGGUUAAUACCCGGUUGUUCUGACGGUACCCAAAGAAUAAGCACCGGCUAACUUCGUGCCAGCAGCCGCGGUAAUACGAAGGGUGCAAGCGUUACUCGGAAUUACUGGGCGUAAAGCGUGCGUAGGUGGUUGUUUAAGUCUGUUGUGAAAGCCCUGGGCUCAACCUGGGAAUUGCAGUGGAUACUGGGCGACUAGAGUGUGGUAGAGGGUAGUGGAAUUCCUGGUGUAGCAGUGAAAUGCGUAGAGAUCAGGAGGAACAUCCAUGGCGAAGGCAGCUACCUGGACCAACACUGACACUGAGGCACGAAAGCGUGGGGAGCAAACAGGAUUAGAUACCCUGGUAGUCCACGCCCUAAACGAUGCGAACUGGAUGUUGGGUGCAAUUUGGCACGCAGU